CUUUAUUGAACUUUAUUUCAGGUAGCCGGGGGACUAUCUGUCAUUCCAGGCUGUCCUACUGCUGGCACUGCUAUGGACCUCUCGAUCACAUGGUCCAGGAGGGUCGGAUCAGCAUCAGGGGGACUCCCUCGGAUGCCAGGCAAGUCCCCCCAUCGCGAUUGCCGGCGGGGGCUCGCCAGCGAGUAGGUAAUUCCCCUGGACGUCAUGGACGUGCUAUGCGAGAGUUCAUUGCGGAAGCCGCAAAGACCAUGUUUCUGCACUGAAUAAAAAUGUACUUCAAAUGUGAUUCUAAUUUAUUAUAUCUGGUUUUAUUUUUAGUGCUUUAUCUAGUUUAGGAUAAAAUUCCAAGUACACCUUUCUAUGUCCCAGAUUACUAGUGGCUGGUCUGCCCAGCACUGCGGUGGGGUGGGGAGAGCAGCCGGUUGGGAUCAGCGUUUGCCUGUGCCGUCUGCUCCAGCUAACCUGGUUCUUACAUUUCAGGCAUUCUGGAAUAUUAGUCUGAUUCUAGUUGGUGGGUGCAAACAGCACAGGAAAGCAGACUCCACUAUGCGAAGGAGGAGGGGGCAUAUAUCGUGUGUCUCGGGGUAGUUCCAGUAUUAUUCCACAGCCAUUGUCAUUCAAUGCCAAACUCGGCACCCUAAAUGUUUCUGAAUUACAUUUCUAAAUAUGUUCAGCCAUGCAGUGAUUCAGAAACAUGUUAUGUUAGCCACUACUGUCCUAUGGUUACAUGCAGUGAUUUGAAACCUGCAAAGCAUUUUGGAAUUUCUGGCUCUAGCAGCCUUGUGGCCAGCAGUAAGCUCCAGGAAGGACCAUGUGGUGCGUGGCCUCUGCAGGUGUUGUACAGAUCACAGACAAAUAUCACUUUCAUCACCAGACAUGUGUUUCCCAUCUAGAGGGCUUAUCAAACAGUGCUGCAAGCUUUGCAUGUGAAGGUAGAAAUACGCUGCCUGUCUCGUACAAAAUACAGCUAGACUGAGGUUUAGCAAAAAUAUUGCUUCAGUUACAGUCCAGAACAUGGAAAUCACAUGCUUAAACUUCCACGAGACAGGAGGACUGGGAUGGAAGGGCAAGGACUGUACACUAGUGUUUUGCACACCACAAGCAAUAUCCAUAGCGAUGAAAUAUGUUUGAAGGGGCACUCUAAGUAUUAGUAAAGUGAAAGGGGCUCUCCUUUCCCACCUUCUCCUACAGACCUUAAUAACCUUUUAGGAGAUGUUUUGAAGCAAAAUUUAGCUUAACAUAACCAUAAGUAAAAGUAUUAAAGGGGUACUCAAAUCACCAUUAUCAAUACAGUCUGCUGACAGUUAUGAUGGCAGUCUACAGGCACCAUAACCACUUUAAUUUCAUGAAGUGGUUGUUGCCAAGUGCUGAAUUACUUAUUUUACUAAGCUGUGCAGGGACGCAGGGUUUGGUAUAUGCACGGUGCCCCCAUUAAGAACAAUGGGUUACCAGGGUUUGUUGAGUGUUCUCAGCCUCUAUUUCCUGUAAAAAUGCAAUUUGCAAUUGUUUUUGCUAUCAAACGGCUCCCUGGUUUAGCCACUUGAUUUGCAUAUGACUCCCUGAAUAGGGUGGGAUUAUAAACUAUAGCGCAUUUUGCGCUGUCGUUACAAGUUCUUAAAGGGACGUUGUGGGCAAUCUAACAGCUUCAUCUCAUUAAAGUGGUGAUAGUGUCUGGAGUCCACUGACACCGUGCUACCAUACAGUGUUAAAACAUUUUUUAAUGGUUUAAAGCUACAUUAGUGUCAGAGAUACAGAGAGACCCAACACACAGUGUGUAAAUAUAAUCAGAAAUAAACGUAUAAUAAACCUUAGAGUGGCUUGGCUUUACGUAAGAGACAGAAUAGCCAGGGACAAGCCGGAGUCAGGGAAGCGAGGUACAACAGCUGAGUCAAGGAUUAUAGAAAGAAAAAUAGUCAAUAUAGCAGAGAUCAAUAAACCAGAAAUAUAGCGAGAAUUACAACACGCUAUUUUAAGCCAAAUAUAGAACACCAGUGCAAUGAUCUUACCCUAAAACACCUUUUUAUAUUACAGCUCUUUAAAUUGAAAACCAUGCUCCCCAAACACAGUCAAAUUUAAACAUUAUGGUGGGCCAUGACGAGAUUAGAGUCAUGAUGUUGGCGCGCCGGCGUUGGAACUGCUGAGGAGAGGCACUAUGGAAAUGGUCCCUCUCCAUAUGCUAGACGUACCUGCACUGUGCCACAACCUGGACAACACAAGGCACUGUGACAGGACCCCCAUUCGAGUACCGCCUACUUAGCGCAGAAGACCAGGGCGAUAAAGAAACCGGUUAUGGAACGACUUAAGAAGAUGAGGAGCAUGGACAGCUGAAGAAUUAACCCACAACCUUUCCUCAGGACCAUACUCUUUCCAAUCAACCAAGUAUUGUAGCCAUCCCCUAUAAAAUCAAGAAUCAAUGAUGGAACUUAACUCAUACUUCUCUUGGCCCUCUACCUCAACAGAAGAAGGAGAUACAACAUGACUGGUAAAAUCAAUGUCAGAGGUUUCAAAAUUGACACACCGAUUGGGAAUGCAGGGGGGAAGAGUUGAUAUGUCUAAGGAUGCUGUAAGGAACCAUGUAUCUGCAGGCAAAUUUCAUGGAUGAUACUUUCAAGGGUAUAUGUUUGGUGCUUAACCAGACCUCAUUAUCUGGUUGGUAGAUAGUAGCAGCAUAUCUAUGUUUGCCUGCGUGUUUCUUGUACAGAUCAGAAUUAUGUGUUGAACUCGUUCCCAAGGUUCUUUAGGUUUUCAACAUGUCCGUCUACCAACAGCAAUCCCUGUGAAGGAAAUGUGGAUGGAAGAACAAGUGGAUUAAAACUAUAAUUAAGAAAAAAAAAGGACUGUAACAAGUGGCAUCACAAACCUCGUUAUGUGCAAAUUAAGCCCAGGGAAAUCGGGCUAUCCCAAUUGUCCUGCUGGUCAGAGACAAAACAUCUCAAGUAUUGUUCCAACUUUUGAUUAAUAUGUUCUGCUGCCCAAUUAGAUUGAGGAGAAUAAGCUCAUGAAAAACUCAAUUUGAUACCUAUCUGUGCACAGAAAUACCCCCAGAAAUAGGAAACAACUUGGAUUCCUCUGUCUGACAUCAUUUCCUUGGGUAAGCCAUGCAAAUAUUUCAGCCGAUUCAAGUGAAGGUAACUUAACGAAGGGAAUAUAGUGAGCUAUUUUUGAAAACCUGUCUACAAUUGUUAGUAUAAAGGUUUUCUUAUCUAGCACUAAAUAUUCCUUAUCUGAAAGAAGGUAUUCAGUACCUCUAGGUGGAAUAGUACCCGGAAAAGGAUAAAAGGCACAAUCAUAAGUUCUAUGUGGAGGUAAGGACUCCCUUGUCAAACACCUAGGUAAGGUUCAGGUAUUUCUGUUGACAAAAGUAACAUAAUAGGCCCAUUUAUUAGGAGAUAACACAUCCCUGAAUACAAUCUAUCAAUUGAGGGAUUGUGUUUUGUUUUUGUUUUUUUACCGGGGAACCCUUAGCCCACUGGAAAUAUUGGAGAAGAAAUUAAUGGUAGUACAAUUUGUUCUUUAUGCAAGAUAUAGACUUUCAUUUGCAAAGAUGUGGUUUCAUGCAGGGCCGGCGCUUCCUAUAGGCAACUUAGGCAGUAGCCUAGGGCCCCCCUCGUGCUGCAGCCGCCUGAGCCUCAGACCGCUGCAGCACUGGCAGGGCCGGCGGGUCCAUGAGGGCGCAAGAUAUUAGGGAUCAGGAGGAGGGAAGCGCACAGCGCUCCCUCCUGCCAGUCCCUCAGUGUAGCAUGACUGAGUUUUGGUCCGGUCCGCGGUACCGGAGCAUCUAUUUCGGUGAGCACUUUCUGUCAGUCUGACCUGGUACAGGAAACAGAAACUCCUGUACCGCGGACCGGAGCUCGGCCAUGCCACACAGGGUAGGAGAGGGGGAUGGUGGGGCGAGACCACUGAGGGAGAGGGGGUGGGGGAGAGGCCACCAUGGGAGUGGAAUGGGGGGGUGGUGGUGGAGAGACCUCUAUGGGAGGGAGGAGGUGGUGAGGAGAGACCACUAAGGAAGGGAGGGGGGAUGGAGGAGAGACCACUAAGGGUAAGGGUGAGACCACUAGGGAAGGGGGAGGGAGAGGAGAGAGCACUACAGGAAAGGGACAGGGGAGAUCACUAAGGGACAGUGGGGCAGGGGAGAGCUCUAAGGGACAGGAGGGGAGAGCAGUAAGGGACAAGAGGGGAGAGAGGCUGAGGAAGGGGGGGGGAAAGGAAGCACAAAGGGGCUGGUAGGACUCAACCCUUAUCCUACCCCACAAACACUCUCUUUCGCACUACACACACAAUGCUUCCCUAUAAAUACAGAGAAACACACCAUGCUUCCCUUACACACAGAAAAACAUACAAUGCAUCCAUUACACACAAAGACAACGAAUCCCUUGCACACACACAGCUUCUCUUACACACACACAGAAACACAAUGCACCCCUUACAUACACAGAAACACACCUUGCAUCCCUUACACAUACAAACACAGAUUCACACAAUGCAUCCCUUAAACACAACCAGAAACACACAACACAUGCCUUACACACAAACACACACUGCUUUCUAUCCCUUACACAAAAACACACUGCAUCACCUAUACAAACUGGUAUCCCUAUACACUACAUUCCAUAAGCCCACACUUUAGAUCCUCUACACUAACGCAUCCCCUACACACUCCACUCCCUGUGAGCAAACUCAUGGGUGGAACAUGUAGGUGGACUUAUGGGUGGACUCACAGACCUUGAACUGUGCAAGCGGCCCCCCAAAAAUGGAGCUGCUUCCCGUUCCCCCAAAACAUUGACUUUUGUGACCACAGUUACAAGCAACCACCAGAGAUCCUGUUCUACACCAGACCAGUGGAGCCAGACUGCAGCCAGAGCCCAUCACCAUCCUCAUCUGGUUGUAAGUAUACAAUCCAGUAUAUUACUCAUUGAACUAAUCUCUAAUUUACAUUAAAGGGACACUAUAGUCCCCAGAACCACUGCAGCUUAAUGAAGUGGUUCUGGUGUCUAUAGCCGGUCCCUGCAGACUUUUUAAUGUAAACACACACUGUGUGCAGCACUGGCAUUAGUUUAUAUGGCAGGUCAUAUGGGUGGGGCAUUGUGAUGUCACAUGAGGGGUGGGGGGACGGCAAAUUUUUAUCCUUGCACCGGCCCUGGUUUCAUGUGAAAUCAUCCAUGGUCUCAACGUUCAGAGGUGUAUUUCUUAACUGUGAAGGAAUAGAAUGACUUCUGGCAAAGGUAAAAUCCAUAAAAUGUCCGGCUGCCCCUAAGUUUAACAAUGCUACAGUAUUUAGUUAAUUCUUCUCUCAGAUUAGGAAAUGGGAAUAUGGAACCUGUGAUCUUUGUCUUUAUACAUGCAGGACAUAGUAGAAACACCCAAAGCCUGUCAUCCAGCAGAACUUAGAUGCGGGAGGUUUCAGGCCUACAAGGAUAAGUUCAGCGAGAAUAACUUGUUUCUGCAGUACAUACAUAACCUCUCUUGUCCUCUGUAUAGUUUCUCUGCUUUGGUUAACCUGGAUACCACUAAGUGCAUCGGUUCAGGCAGUGCUAAGGCCAUAGAGUCUGCAGGGUUGCAUGAUAGUGCUAAUCUGCUGUAACCUAUUCUAGGUUUGAGACAGAUAAGAUCUUUCAAGAAGAUAUCUGGGGGCAACCUCAUCCAGAAUACUGUCUGAAAGGCCAUGUAGGAAGACAUCCACAAAUGCCGGAUUAUUCCAUCUUACUUCUGCUACUAAAGAUAUGAAUUCUAAGGCAUGAUCAACUAAGGAUUUAAUGCGAAGAAGUGAUCUGGCAGCGUUUGCCUUUCUACCAGGAAGAUCAAAUGUCCUCCUAAAAUUAUUGCUAAAAGCAUCACAAUUGUAGACCAGAGGGUUUCAUUCUCCCAUAAGGAAUUAGCCAAAAUCAACACUUUAUCAAAUCGAUAUGGUAAAUCCUAUUUUGACUCUGUGGGACAGGCCCUAAGAUGUAACUCAAAAACUUUACUUAUCUGGUUUACAAAAACCACAAAACGUAUCAGGUGCUGCAACAUAGUGUGGAGGUGAAGUCAUGUGUGAAGUGGAUCUAUAAGGGGAUACUUCUAACCCAGUUGAUACAGGAUUGCUGAACGUACCAAAGUCAAAGGCUGCAAGGCAAGGGCAAUCUGGUCCAAAGGAUGGUCCAUAUUCUCAAAUCAGGUAUCAUACGAUGCCCCUUGGGGGCUUAUAAUAGCUUCAUAUGGCCCAACAUGUAGUGUGUAAGUAAUAAUCGGAAAAUAAACGUAUACAGGACCUUAAAGUAUGGCCAAAGACAAGCCGCAGAAGCCAGAAAUCAGUCAAGGAUUAUAGUCAGUACAGCUGACGUCAAUAAACCAGAAAUACACAGAGAAUUAUAAUGUGCUGUGGAGAGGAGAGGGACUAUGGAAAAGGUCCAACUCUAGAAAAAAAGAAAAAGGACAAAACCAGGGGGGAAAAAAACCAAAACAAAUAUAAUCUUACAAAUAAAUUAAAAAAUCCACCACAGUGGAGUGUUAUAAAGCAUUGAAUACUUAGUGCCACCACUGUGAUUUGCUUGAUGUAGCUACAGAAAAUGACAAUUUAUAUGUUGCACUAACUAGAUUGUCCUGGAAGUUGAAUCCAGAAAAAAGGCUCCGGGUGCAGAUACCUGGCGGGACCCAGUUAAGUGGGUACACUAUUCUAAAAUACUAUGACAAAUAUACAGGGAGGAUAACAGAGCAGUCCAAGUAAUAUAACAUGCUGUAGUGGUUAUAUUGUUUGGAUUGUUUUUUUUAAUAAGUGUCUUAUAUAAAAAAAAACAACAGAGAAAGAACUCCUAGGUGCACAACCUAAUUAAAUGUGAUCCGCACACCUAGGUAGACGUGUAUUAAUGUAGUAUCCUAGUUAGGGAUAGGUGAACGUUGUGUGACAAAGAGAGCUCAGUGAAAAGGGCUCCUGUUACAAUCGACCACUGUCAAAUUUUACUCAACCUUCCGAGGUCAAUAACUGGAAUACCAAUAGGUUGGUUAAAAGUAAAAUAAAAACUUUGAAAUCUCAGGACAUACUUGCACACUAAGAAAUUAGAGGAAUGCUAAAUUUAUCUUUCCCGGAUAAAUACUUUUAUAUUUUUUGGAAAAAUAAACAAAUUAUCGCCCAUGUCCUUAACUGAAAAACCCUAACUUUGUACAUUAGUACAGUUUAAAGCGGUGCCCAUCGAACGCUUACACAAUGACAGUUGGCACAGUCCUGAACCUUGCUGGCAAUCUAUCCACUAACCAACAGCAGAGAAACUGGUCACACAGUUGUCAGCAGUUUUCAUAAAAAACAGUAGUCCGCUCUAGGUUAAUUUUAAAAAAGAGGUAAGAGGGGACGUGGUGUGGGGUGGUGGUGGUGUGUGUGUUUUUUGAUUUUUCACUAAAGUUUGAUUGUUUGGAGUUACCCUUUAAUGGACAUUCCGGACACCAUAACAACGGUACCUCAAUGGAGUUGUUACAGUGCUAGUAGGCACCAGGCACUACGUUAAACUGUUAACAAAUGGCUUAACUCCAAAGUCUGCAAGCUGAUGUCCAAUUGCUCUACCCCUGUACUUCCUCUGAAUGUCUGAGGCUUUAAAUCAGAAAGCCUUGCAGUGGAUGCGGUUAUGCUAAGAGCAUUAGCUCCCAAUUCAGAAAAAGUGAGUGAAAGAUACACUCUCAGUCUAUCAGUGAAACCUGGUCCGAGGCUUCCUGAUUGUAACAUCGAACAUGGAGAGGCAGUGAAAUUACAUGCAAUUAGACAUUGACUUGCAGACUUAGGGGUUAAGCCACUUGAUAAUGGUUUAGUCUGGGGCUUAUUUGCAAAGAUGUUGUUAUGGUUCCUGGAUUGGUAAAAAAAAAAAUGUAAUUAAAAAAAAUCUACGGAUGACAAGGGUAUAAAGAAAAAUCAGGUGGAUCUGUCCAUUUAAAUGUCACAUUACUCAGUUCACACUAACAUUGCAUUUUCUUUCAUUCACAAACUAGAUUAGUCCCUGACAUUUACUCUGAGUGUACAAUAAUCCAGAUUUAAAAAGGGAGUAUCUGGGAGUGAUGUUAACCCUUUGAUGUGUCACAGGGACAUCCAUUACAAUAUUAAUGCUUGCUUUCUUUCCCACACAGGCUAAUCACUGCUUAAUUAAAGCACAUUGUAGGAGAGGCUCAGAAGAGAAUUGGAUCUACCUUGUGCUAUCUGGGAAUUACUCCAUAUUCGCAGCUUGUAAGAGUCACUGCAAAGUUUUCUGGGAGCCAUGACCACACAACACGCCACUUAAAUGCUCCUGACAGAGUAAAUGACAUCUGAUCAGCACAUUGAGAAAGUAGUUUCGAAGAUGGACCUUAGAACAUUUUCUUCAUUGGUGCAUAUGCAUUUAUGUGAAUUAGAAAUCCUAUUUAAUGCACCUUGUGGCAAACCUAGCCACUUCAGUAUAUCAAAGACUGGGUCCAUGUGUUAAUUUUAUACUCCAAAAGACUGAGGGCAUUCGUAUGCUAGUUUCACGAACAAAUGUGGAAUAUACUGUUCGUGAAACGAAUGAACAACCGAACGAGAGACCACACAGGGGAGUCGUGUGUCUCCAAUUAACAAACUGACAACAUUUUUAACCGCAGAACAUUAAUGGUUUUAUGUGCGGUCGCCACACGUGGCGGCGGCCAUCUUUGCUUAUGAACGCCCAGCGGUGUUUGGUAUUUGAGUGCCUGGAACUAAAAUCAGCUACUCGACUUUGCGAACACUGCUGGACUUCCAUGCCGUUCGUAUGAUUAUAUCCAUUCGUAAAAAUAGAGCGGCGUUUGAUGGAUUAAACUCCACGAACCCUAUUCAAACAGUCAGCAUCUAACUAUGUAAUUUCAAUGGGUGUUCAUAUGAACCUCUUCAUUCGAAUGGCUUUCCUAUUCUAACGAAUGGAUCUAAGCGGUAUUUCGCCAGAUGGUGCGCUCAGAUCCCAGCCAUUCAAUGAAGGGUCAUUCGGCCAAUUCAGUGUAAAAUUGUACAAGUUAUGGAUUUUUAUGUUAAAUGUUAUAUUUUUCUGUACGGAGAGAAUGUAAUUAACAGUAUACUCUUACGCAAUUAUCUCUCCAGUACAGAAAAGCAUGAUGGGAAAUAACAUUGCAGGUUAAGUUUUCCCACAGAGGCCACCAGGGGAAAACCCCUUGCAUGGGGACUUGUAUAUAAACGGUUGCAUUGGAAUGAAAGCUCAGUUGACUCCAAAACUAUGUGUUGUCUACUAUUUGGGAAAAAGGGAUUGUAUUUACGCUGCAAAAUUAAAGUGCGCUGUGCCUUUAAGACUCAAAACAGUGAAAAUAAUUUGUGCAAUACUGUGCAAAUAAAGUGAUCAAUGUGCAACUCACUUCAACAUAUAUACAUACAAAAUGUGCAAAAAAUUGUUUCUUUGUGCAACCAAUUAUGUGCAAAAAUACAAUACUUAGCUUUUCCCAAUUAUGGAAUGUGCUUUAGAACUUCUGUCAGCACUCCAAUAUACGUCUCAAAAAGAGAAAGGAAAUAUACAAUCAUAGGGUAGUAUGUACAUACACAAUGAUAAAGAAAAUGGAAACCAAAACACUCACAAGGGUAGAGCAAUAUAAGUCUGCUCUAAACUUUGUAGGCUUAUAUUGCAAUAAUUUAGACUGGAAACUGUGGUGUGCUAAGAGUACAAAGUGCUAAAACACACAAGUAAUGUUAUGGCGCUGAAUUUAAAACUAUAAUCUAUACCAAUAAGCAGCACUAUAUAUCGUGAAAAAGCUCAAUCACCUAUGUAAAAACAAUGAAAAAUUAAUUUUUGUUUCAGUGUCCUGCAGGCAGCUGCUCAAGGCUUCUGCCCUUUCUUGCAGAACAAAUAAUGAACAAGAUAUAAAUGAUGUGCUUAAUGUGCAUAUAUAAAUGCUUUCUAAGACUUAUAAAUUGGGACUGUGGUGUGAAAGGAGCUGAUCUGAGGAAGCCGAACCCCUCGGCGAAACGCGUCAUCACGCUCUGACGUCAUUACGCUCACCGGCCGCUAAGCCCCGCCUCCCGGAAGUGUUUGGAACUAGGAAGUCCUUUCGGCAUACAGAGACCCAGUACAGCCGGCGCCGAAAGUGUGACUGCAUAUACCAGCACUAACCAUAAGAGGAGACCAGAUAAGUGGGACUUACCAGCCUUAUGCAGCGAUAUUUUUAAAGAAGCGAUAAAGGAUUUAACUUCACCACAGUUUCCAGUCUACAUUAUUGCAAUAUAAGCCUACAAAGUUUAGAGCAGACUUAUAUUGCUCUACCCUUGUGAGUGUUUUGGUUUCCAUUUUCUUUAUCAUUGUGUAUGUACAUACUACCCUAUGAUUGUAUAUUUCCUUUCUCUUUUUGAGACGUAUAUUGGAGUGCUGACAGAAGUUCUAAAGCACAUUCCAUAAUUGGGAAAAGCUAAGUAUUGUAUUUUUGCACAUAAUUGGGUGCACAAAGAAACUAUUUUUUGCACAUUUUGUAUGUAUAUAUGUUGUGAGUUGCACAUUGAUCACUUUAUUUGCACAAUAUUGCACAAAUUAUUUUCACUGUUUUGAGUCUUAAAGGCACAGCGCACUUUAAUUUUUCAUUGUUUUUACAUAGGUGGUUGAGCUUUUACACGAUAUAUAGUGCUGCUUAUUGGUAUAGAUUAUAGUUUUAAAUUCAGCGCCAUAACAUUACUUGUGCGUUUUAUCACAUUGUAUUUACGCUACCUACACGGUAUGCUGAAUCUGACUACCAGCGGAGAUACCGUGGAUUAUACUACUACUCCGCUACACACCUUAAUGAACAUGCGAUGAGGCCUGCCAGGCUGGGAAUGUAUCCUUAACACAAACUCCUAGAUUAAGAGUAUCUUUAACUGCACAGAUAUUCACAUCAAUGAGAUACUGGCCUAUAUGACCGGCACCGUUGUAGAAUGAUCCCCUUGGAAUAUGCCAUGGCCAAUAAUCGAAGGCAUGUGUUCAGUACCCCUAAAUUAAGACUGGUAUAGACAAUAAUUGAAGGCACGGGUUUAAUAUCCAUACCCCUAGAUUAAGAUUGGUGUAGACAUGCCAUGGCCAAUAAUUGAAGGCACGUGUUUAAUAUCCAUACCCCUAGGGCUAGAUUAAGACUGGUGUAGACAUUCCAUGGUCAAUAACUGAAGGCACGGGUUUAAUAUCCAUUCCCCUGGAUUAAGAUUGGUGUAGUCAUGCCAUGGCCAAUAAUCGAAGGCAUGUGUUCAGUACCCCUAAAUUAAGACUGGUAUAGACAAUAAUUGAAGGCACGGGUUUAAUAUCCAUACCCCUAGAUUAAGAUUGGUGUAGACAUGCCAUGGCCAAUAAUUGAAGGCACGUGUUUAAUAUCCAUACCCCUAGGGCUAGAUUAAGACUGGUGUAGACAUUCCAUGGUCAAUAACUGAAGGCACGGGUUUAAUAUCCAUUCCCCUGGAUUAAGAUUGGUGUAGUCAUGCCAUGGCCAAUAAUCGAAGGCAUGUGUUCAAUACUAAUAUCCCUGGAUUAAGACUGGUGUAGGCUAAGACAAAAUAAGUUUGCUUUGUUAAAGUGGAACUGUCACUUCUCUGGUACUAUAACAUUAAAACUGGAGUUAACCUUUUAACAUGUGAUGCUGUGUUCUUUUAAAUGUACAAGAGUUAGCAAAUUACAUCACAAUCCAGUUUAGUCAAGGCACAGCCAAGGAACACACCGAGAAGGCGUUAGAAAAAUAGAAGCAAUGUUUUUCUCUUGCUCUGUGCUGACUGACAGGUGCAGAAGGUGGAGCUUAUAACAAUGAUCGACAGAGAGACAAGAUGGGAGCACUCCAUUCCAGAAUAGCGGUAACUACAAUGGCAAGGAUUACUAUAUCCAAGCUUAUUUUUCAGACUUUACAAACAUAAUAUUAAUAACCCUGGGAAAUGACAGUUCUUUUAAGCUCAACACCAAUGGAUACUUUAAACGAGCCUGCAUGCAUUGUGCCUGUCCUGCGACCCCGAAGCAACCAUGGUUGCAUCUUGUAAUCAGAAAAUCCCAUAUUGCAGUGUAGAAAACAUGGCAAACAUUUUUUUGUCCUUUGUUAUUGUUAAUGGUAUCAAACUGCAUGUGUGUCCUGUAAAGGAAUACUGUAACCAUUUCAUCUCAUUUAACUAGUUAUAGGGUCUGGUCCCCCUGGCUCUGUCCCUCCAUUCAGUGUUAAACCAAUUUUGAGCUGUUACACAAAAUAUAGACCCUGGCCCCACACAGCCCGGCACACCCUGGAGGUAUGGCCAAUGCAAAAAUUCAACACUAUCUUCUAGCUGUACAAAUGCAUACCAGCAAUAGGUGCUGUGAUGGGGUGAAAGCAGGCAGCUGACACAGCCACUCAUUACGGCUCAGGCUGAUGCUCCCUUAUUAACCCAAGCAGCGCAGAGGGAAUGGAUUGCUAGGACUUUUAUUUACAUUUCAAAGCUAAAUGGAAAGAGAGCACCAGGGAUCUCCAGAUACUAUAAUCACUUUAAUAAAAAAAAAUAUUAAGCAGUUACAGUGCCUACACCGUUUAAAAGAGACCAUGAACAUGUAACCAUGGGAUAAUCAGUUAGGAUUUUCAGGUGGAUAUAAUCUUCCCAACGGGAAUUGUGUGUGUGUGUGUGUGUGUGUGGACAUUAGCAUUUGACAGUUAACAAGCAAAUCUAACCCCUUCUAUAUGAGCAAGUGCUCCCCCAGACUGACACAGACAGGUCUCAGACCAUCAGCAUUUACCUUCUCAAUGGAUGGAUACCUUGGACCCUUUCCAAUUGACUUGGUUUUACUACUGGUAACAUAGAAUGUACGGUGUCAUUUUAAUGCUUUGUCAAUAAAAGCAACAUUUUAAUUUAAGCAAUGA